rnacentral:tRNA from 1 species
UCCAGGGUAGCCUAGUGGACAUGGCAUCUGCCCGGUAAGCGGAACAUUGUGGGUCCGAUUCCCAUCCCUGGAC